GAAAUUGAGAACUGAUUCAAACGAAGAGCGUUUGCUUCAUCUUCAUCAUUCCUCAUCAUGCCUUUGUCGGAUGAAAUGGUUAGAAGAGAGCUUGAAUCUUCUAAUGAACAGAAAGCUGCCUCAUCAUAUCCACAUGUUGUACUUUCUCAAGCCAAUGACCAACAGAUUGAAGAUCCUCUUAUUGCUGAACAAACCGAUGCUAUAA